GAGUAAUGUCUGGGAAACUGCCUGAUGGAGGGGGAUAACUACUGGAAACGGUGGCUAAUACCGCAUAACGUCGCAAGACCAAAGAGGGGGACCUUCGGGCCUCUUGCCAUCAGAUGUGCCCAGAUGGGAUUAGCUAGUUGGUGAGGUAACGGCUCACCAAGGCGACGAUCCCUAGCUGGUCUGAGAGGAUGACCAGCCACACUGGAACUGAGACACGGUCCAGACUCCUACGGGAGGCAGCAGUGGGGAAUAUUGCACAAUGGGCGCAAGCCUGAUGCAGCCAUGCCGCGUGUAUGAAGAAGGCCUUCGGGUUGUAAAGUACUUUCAGCGGGGAGGAAGGUGUUGUGGUUAAUAACCGCAGCAAUUGACGUUACCCGCAGAAGAAGCACCGGCUAACUCCGUGCCAGCAGCCGCGGUAAUACGGAGGG
rnacentral:rRNA from 1 species